GACGUAGGGCGCGAGCGUUGUCCGGAUUUAUUGGGCGUAAAGAGCUCGUAGGCGGCUUGUCGCGUCGUCCGUGAAAACCCGGGGCUCAACUCCGGGCUUGCGGGCGAUACGGGCAGGCUAGAGUUCGGUAGGGGAGACUGGAAUUCCGUGGUGUAGCGGUGAAAUGCGCAGAUAUCAGGAGGAACACCGGUGGCGAAGGCGGGUC
rnacentral:rRNA from 1 species